UGAGGAAUAUUCCACAAUGGGCGAAAGCCUGAUGGAGCGACGCCGCGUGCGGGAAGAAGCCUUUCGGGGUGUAAACCGCUUUUAGAGGGGAUGAAACGAUGCCUUCGGGCAUCUAAGACAGUACCUUCUGAAUAAGCAUCGGCUAACUACGUGCCAGCAGCCGCGGUAAUACGUAGGAUGCUAGCGUUGUCCGGAUUUACUGGGCGUAAAGAGCGCGCAGGCGGCACCCUAAGUACUUUGUGAAAUCCACCUGCUCAACGGGUGGGGUGCAGGGUAAACUGGGGAGCUAGAGAGCGGUAGAGGGGGGUAGAAUUGCUGGUGUAGCGGUGAAAUGCGUAGAGAUCAGCAGGAAUACCCGUGGCGAAGGCGGCCCCCUGGGCCGUAUCUGACGCCGAGGCGCGAAGGCUAGGGGAGCGAACGGG
rnacentral:rRNA from 1 species